CCUGUCCUACGGGGGGCAGCAGUGGGGAAUAUUGCACAAUGGGGGAAACCCUGAUGCAGCGACGCCGCGUGAGUGAAGAAGUAUUCCGGUAUGUAAAGCUCUAUCAGCAGGGAAGAUAAUGACGGUACCUGACUAAGAAGCCCCGGCUAACUACGUGCCAGCAGCCGCGGUAAUACGUAGGGGGCAAGCGUUAUCCGGAUUUACUGGGUGUAAAGGGGGCGCAGACGGCGAUGCAAGCCAGGAGUGAAAGCCCGGGGCCCAACCCCGGGACUGCUCUUGGAACUGCGGGGCUAGAGUGCAGGAGG
rnacentral:rRNA from 1 species